GUAACAGCUAUGGAAUUAAUGGCUGCCAACUCUGAAGUCUGAUCAUUCUUAAGGCAAUGAAGCAUAUUUAAAGGCUGUUUUAAAAAGACUGUUUAUUCCCUCUGUUCUCGGGAGAAGCAUUGAAACUACAUUUCAACUCCUGAAAAUCA
rnacentral:lncRNA from 11 species